GUGUGCAGUUUUAACUACUAGCAUGUCCCAAGCCAUGGUAAAAGCAGAGGGGGAGAAAAUAGUCUUGUAUUUGAAUUGUUUUACAUUUUAAUUGAUAAUUAUGUUCUUUUUACAUUUGUAGAUCUGACCACAGUUAUUGAAGUGAAUGUAAUAUGUCAGCAAGGAAAAGCUAUGAAUUUAUUUGAUUCUCUUAAGAAAGACAAGUUUAUUAUGCCACAAAGAAACAGUUGUUGCCUUACUAUAGAAGUUCCUCCCAUACAUUAUCCAAGAUCAAACCAAGAACUGAUGCUUGCUGGACAAGUUGUUUAACAUUUGAUAGAGGAUCUACAUGUGAAUUGAUAAUGUGACAUUAAACAUUCUAUAUCUAUGGCAACUGAUUAAUACAGAGUUGUGUGCUUGGCAGUGCCGUGAGGGGGACGGAUAGAUUUGGCAUGUUGAUUGAUGUGUUGCAUGCCAAAAAAGAUAAAAUAGAACCAAUAAAGACAUUGUUUAUGACUCCGGUAAAGACCAUCAACUUGAGCAGUUUUGAUAAAAAUUUAAUUAAACAUUCAUUAUUAUAUUAGCUUGUUGAAAUUAGAUCACCGGCUUUGCCAAAUUAUGUUUUACCACAGGGCAGCUGAGAAACAUAAGGAAAAUGGGGCCAAUACAAAAAUAAAACAUUUUGUUUGGUAUAGAAAAUGGGCAGAGUGUAAGAAGUUUGAAAUGCUAGGUGUUUUUAACACAUUUUUAUUUGAAACAUAAAUAUUUUUUUUAGUCCCUUAUCAGUUUAACUAGAUGUGACUAGGUUUACCCUCUUUCCUUCUGUACGUCCAUCCGUCCACGAAACCUUAUCCUGUGGUGAUGCAAAAAGUACUGAAUACUUUAAUGAAGCUUGAAAUAUAGUUAAAUAGCAGUCUGGAAAUUAUGAACAUCUUCUUUUCUUCUUAUGUUGAAAAAUUUGGUUGCUAUGGCCACAAAAAGACUUAAAAUAUGGCAAAUAUAACAAUAUUUGUGAUUACUCAGAAGUACAGAAAACAUUUUUAUGAAAAAGAUAAAUAUAAAAAAGAUGGCAUCAUGACCGUAUGGAAAAUAUGCAUGUCAAGCUUCACAACUUUAGCACCAAAUUUAUUAGAUUUACCCCCCUUGAACUUGCAAUUUUCUUAAAAAAAUGUUGUUGCUUUUUUUAUAUAACUUCUUUAUUUCUUAACAUACCUACUUCAAACAUUGAAUAUAUGUUUCUUAUCACACCCACUUCAUAUGUGGCAUUAGGUCCAUUAUUCUAGCACCUUUAUAAUAAUCAGAAUAAUCAUCCUUAAAUUUUAAUUUUUAACUUUUUUUUAAAAUUUUCUUCUUUGUUACUAUUAAUGGUAUAUUGUACUUUCCAUUGCAAUGUCUAUGUUGUAUUUUGGGCCGGAGUACUAUGUUACAGAAAUAAACUUUACUUUUAUAUAUUUGAAAAUUGUUAUAUUUUUCACUUUUCAUCUUAAAUUCUAUAAAUGGUAUCUACUUGAGAUUUAAGAUUUGUUGUAUAAACAUAAUUUCCUCAUAAGUCAUGGACACUUAACACAAUACUAUGAUACAGAUAAACAAAUAUCCAAAGAUUGAAGUUGAUUCAUGUCUUCCACAAUGGCUAAAUUGAAAAUGUUGCUUGGGUUCUUACCAGUAGGGGACUUUUAUAUUAUUUGCAAUACUUUGAUAAUUGCUUGUUAUUUUUUAUAUUUAUUUCUGUUUCCAAGAAAUAUUUCAUCAGAACAAUUACAAAAUUGAAUGGGCAUGUAAUCAGAUUAUUAAAUAUUAGUCUUAAACAGAAAAAUGAAACAUUUUGUUUAUAUUUAUCAUUUAAAAUCAAGUUAAACUGCACAGAAACACAACAGCUGAUAAUUAUUUAAUACACACUUUUCCUGUAGUUAAAUUAUGUGUAUUAUAUAUGUUCUUGUUUUAAAUACUUUCAAAUGA